AGUGAACGCUGGCGGCGUGCUUAACACAUGCAAGUCGAACGAGAACGGAUUAUAGCUUGCUAUAAUUGUCAGCUAAGUGGCGCACGGGUGAGUAAUGUAUAGGUAAUAUGCCUCUUACUAAGGGAUAACAAAUGGAAACGUUUGCUAAUACCUUAUACUCCUUAUUAACAUAAGUUAAUAAGGGAAAGAUUUAUUGGUAAGAGAUUAGCCUGUAUUGUAUCAGUUAGUUGGUGAGGUAAUGGCUUACCAAGACUAUGACACAUAACUGGUUUGAGAGGAUGAUCAGUCACACUGGAACUGAGACACGGUCCAGACUCCUACGGGAGGCAGCAGUGGGGAAUAUUGCACAAUGGACGAAAGUCUGAUGCAGCAACGCCGCGUGGAGGAUGACACAUUUCGGUGCGUAAACUCCUUUUAUAUGGGAAGAUAAUGACGGUAUUAUAUGAAUAAGCACCGGCUAACUCCGUGCCAGCCACCGCCGUAA
rnacentral:rRNA from 1 species